CCUACGGGAGGCAGCAGUGGGGAAUAUUGCACAAUGGGCGAAAGCCUGAUGCAGCGACGCCGCGUGAGGGAUGACGGCCUUCGGGUUGUAAACCUCUUUCGACAGGGACGAAGCGCAAGUGACGGUACCUGUAUAAGAAGCACCGGCCAACUACGUGCCAGCAGCCGCGGUAAU
rnacentral:rRNA from 1 species